rnacentral:rRNA from 1 species
GACAGAGGUGCCAAGCGUUAGGCGGAAUCACUGGGCUUAAAGCGUGUGUAGGCGGAAUGGUAAGUACCUUGUGAAAUCCCACGGCUCAACCGUGGAACUGCUUGGUAUACUGCUUUUCUUGAGCCACUUAGGGGCAACCGGAACAAACGGUGGAGCGGUGAAAUGCGUAGAUAUCAUUUGGAACGCCAAUGGUGAAAACAGGUAGCUGGGAGUGUGCUGACACUGAGACACGAAAGCCAGGGGAGCGAACGGG